AGCCUCCGUUUCCUGCUUGGUCUCCUGAUGCUGUCCCACCUACGCCCUCAUUCUGCAUUCACCAUUCUGCAGUUAAAUGCUCUGGUGACAGAUCUUUCCAGACCUUCAGGCUCCAGAAAACUCGCCCCUGCCAUCACCUUCCAGUUAAUCCUCCAGAGAGUCUUCAUCCACUGCCCGAGACCCAUCCUUCAAUCCAGUCAUCUGCCUCCACUGCUACAUGUAUUGCUCUGUACCUGGUCUUUGUUGUUUUAAUAAACCUACUAUCCCCAACGUGUCUUGUGUCAACAUUUUAUGUCCUGAAAACUAAAACCUCUGAAUUUCUGCUUUAAAGAAUGUAUUAACCCAAGAACUUUAGCUUUUCUUACAGGUGUUGUGGUCCAGUUUCCAGCCUGGGUCACAGCUGUCCUCGGUCAGUCCAUUUCGACAGAUGCAAUCACAGGUGGAUUCCUGCAGAACCCUGUUGGGCCCACAGAGAGCCAGAAGACCGGUGUCCACAAUAUCUAAGUCACAUGGAAAGAAAGUGAUGUGUUGCGGCUCGCCUUAUGAUGGAGUGGAGCGGUCGCUUGGGGAGGCAUUCGCACGAAGUGUGGUUGACGAAGGCUGCCAUGACGACGGAGUAUUUCAUACUGGGAGGGAUAACUUCCAUCAACUGCCAGGGAGCGAGAUGAAGAUUAGAGUUGUGUAUAAAUUGUACGCUGUAAGAAAAUAAAUGAAAUAAUUGUUCCAUUA